rnacentral:rRNA from 1 species
UCAAGCGUUUAAGGGCGUGUAGUGGAUGCCUUGGCACUGAAAGCCGAUGAAGGACGUGAUAUACUGCGAUAAGUUUCGGGGAGCUGUAUGUAAGCUUUGAUCCGAAAAUUUCCGAAUGGGGAAACCCACCACUUUAUGUGGUACUUUAAACUGAAUACAUAGGUUUAAAGAGACAACCUGGAGAACUGAAACAUCUAAGUAACCAGAGGAAAAGAAAUCAAUUGAGAUUCCGUUAGUAGUGGCGAGCGAACGCGGAGUAGGCCAGUAGUUUUGUUAGAAAAAUUUGAAUAGUUUGGAAAUGCUAACCAUAGAGGGUGAUAGUCCCGUAUGAGUAAUGUCUAACAAAAUUCUUGAGUAAAGCGGGACACGAGAAAUCCUGCUCGAAUAUAGGGGGACCACCCUCUAAGCCUAAAUACUCUUCAGUGACCGAUAGUGAACUAGUACCGUGAGGGAAAGGUGAAAAGAACCCCUAUUAGGGGAGUGAAAUAGAACCUGAAACUGCAUGCCUACAAUCAGUCCGAGCCCUUUUUAGGGUGAGGGCGUACCUUUUGUAUAAUGGGUCAGUGACUUAAUUUAUUAAGCAAGCUUAAGCCAUCUAGGUGUAGGCGCAGCGAAAGCAAGUCUUAAUAGGGCGAUUAGUUUAAUGAAUUAGACCCGAAAACGAAUGAGCUUACCAUGAGCAGGUUGAAAGUUGGGUAACACCAACCGGAGGACCGAACCAGUUGACGUUGAAAAGUCUUUGGAUGACUUGUGGUAAGGGGUGAAAGGCCAACCAAAUUCGUAGAUAGCUGGUUUUCCGCGAAAACUAUUUAGGUAGUGCGUCGAAUAAAUAGAUGUUUAGAGGUAGAGCACUAAAUGGGCUAGGGGGAAGAGAUUCUUACCAAACCUAAUAAAACUCCGAAUGCUAGACAUUGUUCUUCGGCAGACAGACUGUGGGUGCUAAGGUCCAUGGUCGAGAGGGAAAGAGCCCAGACCACCAGAUAAGGUCCCAAAAUCAUGAUUAAGUGUGAAAGGAUGUGGAAAUUCCUUAACAGCCGGGAGGUUGGCUUAGAAGCAGCCAUCCUUUAAAGAUAGCGUAACAGCUCACCGGUCUAAUAGAGUUUCUGCGCCGAAGAUGUAACGGGGCUAAAAUCAUGUACCGAAUCUGUGGGUGUAUAAAGUUUUCGAAUUUUAUACGCGGUAGCGGAACGUUCUGUAAGCCUGCGAAGGGAUACCCGUGAGGGAUCCUGGAGGUAUCAGAAGUGCGAAUGCUGACAUAAGUAACGAUAAACGAAGUGAAAAACUUCGUCGCCGAAAAUCUAAGGGUUUCUAUGCAAGGUUAAUCCGCGUAGAGUUAGUCGGCACCUAAGGCGAGGGCGAAAGCCGUAGUCGAUGGAAACAAGGUUAAUAUUCCUUGACCUGAUGGUAGUGACGGAUUUCGUAAGUUGUGAGUUCUUAAUGGAUUGAACUUGCCGCGAAGAGGUCCCAAGAAAUAGCUCCAUCAUGAAGACCGUACCCGAAACCGACACAGGUAGAUUAAUAGAGUAUAUUUAGGCGCUUGAGAGAAUGAUGUUGAAGGAACUCGGCAAAAUGCUUCCGUAACUUCGGGAUAAGGAAGACCCUUUUGUAGGCAACUAUAGAAGGGUGGCACAAGCCAGGGAGAAGCGACUGUUUAUCAAAAACACAGGGCUCUGCUAACACGUAAGUGGAUGUAUAGGGUCUGACGCCUGCCCGGUGCUGGAAGGUUAAUGCGGUUGGUGCAAGCUAACUUCUGAAGCCCCAGUAAACGGCGGCCGUAACUAUAACGGUCCUAAGGUAGCGAAAUUCCUUGUCGGGUAAGUUCCGACCUGCACGAAUGG